CAACACCAUGAAAGAAAUUCAUAAACAUUAUUCUGAGUAAAAUUUAAAAAACGACACUUACAUAUAAGGUGAAACAUGUUUAUAUUAUUAAAACCCAGAAUAGAGUUUAUCCAUAGACAGUAUGAGAGGAGAUCCUGGGAUAGUGUCUAAUUUCUUCAGCUGUAUCUUAGUUGGAUUGAUAUGUCACAUUUGUAGACAUGUGUCUGGCAUCACAUGCCAUCUAUGAUUAAGCUAUUUUAUCUGUGUCCAUUAUAUUUCAACAAUCAUUUUGUAGUUUUUUUCCCCAUGUGCUAGUUCAUUCAACUUACACAAUAACUCCAGGCAAUAAGAAGGGCGGGAUAACUUUCUCCCAGUUACCAAGAAGUGAACCUGACUCAAAGUUUUGUCCAAAGCCUUUGGGCUGAUUAGUCAUAGAUCAAGAUCAGGUAAAAGAAGGCAGUGCUUUAUAGGCAGAUCGCUCUGAUGCCUAAAAGGUAUUUAAUAAAUACUGUCUAGUGCUAAGUUGUAGAGUUCCUAGUAACAAAAAGGUAGUCAUCUUACCGUGAAAUUUUCUGGGGCAGUGGUGCAUGUGUAUGUGUGUGUGUGAGUGUAUAGUAUCUCUGGCUGGAUCACAUGCAUUCUCUCCUCAGAAGGAAACAGAGAUAUGCUCUGAUUCAAAUGCCCUUGGUGCUGCCAAAAUACCUGUGGAAAAUUGUGCAACUAUGUCCCUCUAGGGCUUAGAAGUGAAUGAGUCACACCCUCAGUUCUCAGACAUAGUGCCCAGGAAAACAGGAAAGCUCACGUCGGCAGAAAUCCAUUAUGUGACCUUGGAUUAAUCAUUGAGCUUCUUUAGGGGCAAUUGUCUGAAAGACCAAUAGUAUGAGAUUCCCUCACUUAGAACCAUAUGUGUGUUCCUCCUGUAGUAUACCUUUGUGAGGUUCCCUAAGGUUUUUUCCCUUCCACACAUGCAACCAUAUUUCAUCAUUUUUAGAGGCAUUGGACUGUAUUCAAACUUUCCAGUUCCCUUCUGGUCACUUAAGAUCAGAUUUUACUUGUUUACAUUUGAAAUUCAGCAUGGCCAGUUCCCUGCCUAUCUUUAGCUAAGAAAGAAGACAAUCAACUGAGUUAUAUAAGUAACCAGAAGGCCAUGAGUUCUAUCCCCAAAAGUGCAAAAAAAAAAAAAAAAAGUGUAAUAAAACUUUUCUUGUCAACAUAAAAUUCCAGUUAUUUAUGAUGUGGAAAACAAAAGAGAUAAGAAGUCCCAGAAAUGGAAUCUGUAAUUACUUGGAUAAUAACUCUGAACCUUCUUUGGAAAAAAAUAUGUAGAAUGUAAAAUGUUUUGAUUUAGGGCUCAACUGUAAUGUCAAGGUCAUCCAAUCAUCCAAUGAGCUCAGAAGGAAUCUGAGAAAAAUAAAGAGAUAAAUAGAAGCA
ensembl:lincRNA Gm28183 predicted gene 28183